rnacentral:rRNA from 1 species
CAAGGAUUCCCCUAGUAACUGCGAGUGAAGCGGGAAAAGCCCAAAUUUAAAAUCUGACAGUCUUUGGCUGUCCGAGUUGUAAUCUAGAGAAGCAUUAUCCGCGCUGGACCGUGUUCAAGUCUCCUGGAAUGGAGCGUCAUAGAGGGUGAGAAUCCCGUCUUUGACACGGACUGCCAGGGCUUUUGUGAUGUGCUCUCAAAGAGUCGAGUUGUUUGGGAAUGCAGCUCAAAAUGGGUGGUAAAUUCCAUCUUAAGCUAAAUAUUGGCGAGAGACCGAUAGCGAACAAGUACCGUGAGGGAAAGAUGAAAAGAACUUUGGAAAGAGAGUUAAACAGUACGUGAAAUUGCUGAAAGGGAAACGCUUGAAGUCAGUCACAUUGCCCAGGGAUCAGCCUUGCUUUAGCUUGGUGUACUUUCUGGUUGAUGGGUCAGCAUCAAUUUUGACUAUUGGAAAAAGAUUAAGGCAAUGUAGCAUCUUCGGAUGUGUUUAUAGCCCUUGGUUGCAUACAAUGGUUGGGAUUGAGGAACUCAGCACGCCGCAAGGCCGGGUUUUUAACCACGUACGUGCUUUGGAUGCUGGCACAAUGGGUUUAAUCGACCCGUCUUGAAACACGGACCAAGGAGUCUAACAUACCUGCAAGUGUUUGGGUGGAAAACCCGAGCGCGUAAUGAAAGUGAAAGUUCAGAUCCCUGUCAUGGGGAGCAUCGACGCCUGGACCAGACGUUUUGUGACGGUUCCACGGAAGAGCAUGUAUGUAGGGACCCGAAAGAUGGUGAACUAUGCCUGAAUAGGGUGAAGCCAGAGGAAACUCUGGUGGAGGCUCGUAGCGAUUCUGACGUGCAAAUCGAUCGUCAAAUUUGGGUAUAGGGGCGAAAGACUAAUCGAACCAUCUAGUAGCUGGUUCCUGC